rnacentral:rRNA from 1 species
AUACGGAGGAUGCGAGCGUUAUCCGGAUUUAUUGGGUUUAAAGGGAGCGUAGGUGGGAUAUUAAGUCAGCUGUGAAAGUUUGGGGCUCAACCUUAAAAUUGCAGUUGAUACUGGUUUCCUUGAGUACGGUAUAGGUGGGCGGAAUUCGUGGUGUAGCGGUGAAAUGCUUAGAUAUCACGAAGAACUCCGAUCGCGGAGGCAGCUCACCGGGCCGGAACUGACACUGAUGCUCGAAAGUGCGGGUAUCAAACAGGAUUAGAUACCCUGGUAGUCCGCACAGUAAACGAUGAAUACUCGCUGUUUGCGAUACACUGUAAGCGGCCAAGCGAAAGCGUUAAGUAUUCCACCUGGGGAGUACGCCGGCAACGGUGAAACUCAAAGGAAUUGGCGGGG